rnacentral:rRNA from 1 species
ACUCAAAGGAAUAGACGGGGGCCCGCACAAGCAGCGGAGCGUGUGGUUUAAUUCGAUGCAACGCGAAGAACCUUACCAGGGCUUGACAUCUGCCGUUCAAUCCCGGAAAUGGGAUGGCCGCAAGGCGAGGUGGACAGGUGCUGCAUGGCUGUCGUCAGCUCGUGCCGUGAGGUGUUGGGUUAAGUCCCGCAACGAGCGCAACCCCCGGGGCUAGUUAGGUUCCUAGCCCGACAGCCGGGACCAACCCGGAGGAAGGUGGGGAUGACGUCAAGUCAGCACGGCCCUUACGUCCUGGGCUACACACACGCUACAAUGGCCGGUACAGCGGGCGUUGCGAAGCCGCGAGGCGGAGCGAAUCUCUGCAAAGCCGGCCCCAGUCCGGAUCGGGGGCUGCAACUCGCCCCCGUGAAGUCGGAGUUGCUAGUAACCGCGGGUCAGCACACCGCGGUGAAUACGUUCCCGGGCCUUGCACACACCGCCCGU